UCCAGACUCCUACGGGAGGCAGCAGUGGGGAAUAUUGCACAAUGGGGGAAACCCUGAUGCAGCGACACCGCGUGAGCGAUGAAGUAUUUCGGUAUGUAAAGCUCUAUCAGCAGGGAAGAAAAUGACGGUACCUGACUAAGAAGCCCCGGCUAACUACGUGCCAGCAGCCGCGGUAAUACGUAGGGGGCAAGCGGUAUCCGGAUUUACUGGGUGUAAAGGGGGCGCAGACGGCAGCGCAAGCCAGGAGUGAAAGCCCGGGGCCCAACCCCGGGACUGCUCUUGGAACUGGGCGGCUGGAGUGCAGGAGGGGCAGGCGGAAUUCCUGGUGUAGCGGUGAAAUGCGUAGAUAUUAGGAGGAACACCAGUGGCGAAGGCGGCUUACUGGACGGCAACUGACGCUGAGGCUCGAAAGCGUGGGGAGCAAACAGGAUUAGAUACCCUAGUAAC
rnacentral:rRNA from 1 species